rnacentral:rRNA from 1 species
UACGUAGGGGGCAAGCGUUGUCCGGAUUUAUUGGGCGUAAAGAGCGUGUAGGCGGCCAUGCAGGUCCGUUGUGAAAACUCGGGGCUUAACUCCGAGACGUCGAUGGAAACCGCAUGGCUAGAGUCCGGAAGAGGAGAGUGGAAUUCCUGGUGUAGCGGUGAAAUGCGCAGAUAUCAGGAGGAACACCAAUAGCGAAGGCAGCUCGCUGGGACGGUACUGACGCUAAGGCGCGAAAGCGUGGGGAGCGAACAGG